UACGUAGGGGGCAAGCGUUGUCCGGAAUCAUUGGGCGUAAAGCGCGUGUAGGCGGCUGACUAAGUCCGCUCUGAAAGCCCGGGGCUCAACCCCGGGAGGCGGGUGGAUACUGGUCAGCUCGAGUCCGGAAGAGGAGUGUGGAAUUCCUGGUGUAGCGGUGAAAUGCGCAGAUAUCAGGAGGAACACCAACGGCGAAGGCAGCACUCUGGGCCGGUACUGACGCUGAGGAGCGAAAGCGUGGGGAGCAAACAGG
rnacentral:rRNA from 1 species